GUGCUUGCUUUGACAGCACAUUUGCUCAAAUUGGAAUGAUACAGAGAAGAUUAGAAUGGCCCCUGCACAAGGAUGACAUGCAGAUUUUUGAAGCAUUCCGUAUUUAA
rnacentral:snRNA from 1 species